rnacentral:rRNA from 1 species
UGGGGAAUAUUGGACAAUGGGCGAAAGCCUGAUCCAGCAAUACCGCGUGUGUGAAGAAGGCCUGAGGGUUGUAAAGCACUUUCAAUAGGGAGGAAUACCUGGAGGUUAAUACCCUCCAGACUGACAUUACCUAUACAAGAAGCACCGGCUAACUCCGUGCCAGCAGCCGCGGUAAUACGGAGGGUGCAAGCGUUAAUCGGAAUUACUGGGCGUAAAGCGUGCGUAGGCGGCUUGUUAAGUCAGAUGUGAAAGCCCCGGGCUUAACCUGGGAACUGCAUUUGAAACUGGUAGGCUAGAGUUGAGUAGAGGGGAGUGGAAUUUCAGGUGUAGCGGUGAAAUGCGUAGAUAUCUGAAGGAACACCAGUGGCGAAGGCGACUCCCUGGACUCAAACUGACGCUGAGGUACGAAAGCGUGGGUAGCAAACAGG